UACGUAGGGGGCGAGCGUUGUCCGGAAUUAUUGGGCGUAAAGCGCGUGCAGGCGGUUUUUUAAGUCUUUGGUGAAAGACCGGGGCUCAACCCCGGAGUGUCCAUGGAGACUGGAAGACUGGAGUGUCGGAGAGGAGUGCGGAAUCCCUGGUGUAGCGGUGGAAUGCGUAGAGAUCAGGGGGAACACCGAUGGCGAAGGCAGCACUCUGGCCGAAUACUGACGCUGAGACGCGAAAGCGUGGGGAGCGAACGGG
rnacentral:rRNA from 1 species